rnacentral:tmRNA from 1 species
GUAUCGCCGUCCGAUAGAUGCGAAUGGGUGUAAUAUACUUCGGGCUGGAGAACGCGACAUCCUCGACGCGAUCUCAAGAUACAGAGGAUCGAAACGAUGAGAUUUUGAUUGUUCCUCACUCAUCAUUUCUAAACCAAAAAACAAUCUACGCUUCGUAGAAACGCAUCAUUCCACUCUCCGCACGGGGGUUCGAUUCCCCCCAUCUCCACCA